rnacentral:rRNA from 1 species
AGUGAACGCUGGCGGUAGGCCUAACACAUGCAAGUCGAACGGCAGCACAGUAAGAGCUUGCUCUUACGGGUGGCGAGUGGCGGACGGGUGAGGAAUACAUCGGAAUCUACUUUUUCGUGGGGGAUAACGUAGGGAAACUUACGCUAAUACCGCAUACGACCUACGGGUGAAAGCAGGGGAUCUUCGGACCUUGCGCGAUUGAAUGAGCCGAUGUCGGAUUAGCUAGUUGGCGGGGUAAAGGCCCACCAAGGCGACGAUCCGUAGCUGGUCUGAGAGGAUGAUCAGCCACACUGGAACUGAGACACGGACCAGACUCCUACGGGAGGCAGCAGUGGGGAAUAUUGGACAAUGGGCGCAAGCCUAAUCCAGCCAUACCGCGUGGGUGAAGAAGGCCUUCGGGUUGUAAAGCCCUUUUGUUGGGAAAGAAAAGCAGCAGGUUAAUACCCCGCUGUCCUGACGGUACCCAAAGAAUAAGCACCGGCUAACUUCGUG